GCCAUGCUAGUCGCACGAGUUUAGACUCGUGGCAUAUAGCUCAGUAACACGUGGCCAAACUACCCUACAGACCGCAAUAACCUCGGGAAACUGAGGCCAAUAGCGGAUAUAACUCUCAUGCUGGAGUGCCGAGAGUUAGAAACGUUCCGGCGCUGUAGGAUGUGGCUGCGGCCGAUUAGGUAGAUGGUGGGGUAACGGCCCACCAUGCCGAUAAUCGGUACAGGUUGUGAGAGCAAGAGCCUGGAGACGGUAUCUGAGACAAGAUACCGGGCCCUACGGGGCGCAGCAGGCGCGAAACCUUUACACUGCACGACAGUGCGAUAGGGGGACUCCGAGUGUGAGGGCAUAUAGCCCUCGCUUUUCUGUACCGUAAGGUGGUACAGGAACAAGGACUGGGCAAGACCGGUGCCAGCCGCCGCGGUAAUACCGGCAGUCCAAGUGAUGGCCGAUAUUAUUGGGCCUAAAGCGUCCGUAGCUUGCUGUGUAAGUCCAUUGGGAAAUCGACCAGCUCAACUGGUCGGCGUCCGGUGGAAACUACACAGCUUGGGGCCGAGAGACUCGAGGGGUACGUCCGGGGUAGGAGUGAAAUCCUGUAAUCCUGGACGGACCACCAAUGGGGAAACCACGUUGAGAGACCGGACCCGACAGUGAGGGACGAAAGCCAGGGUCUCGAACCGGAUUAGAUACCCGGGUAGUCCUGGCUGUAAACGAUGCUCGCUA
rnacentral:rRNA from 1 species